GGUAUUUUAUUCUAUUUUAGAGGAACCUGUCCUAUAAUUGAUAAUCCACGAUAGGAUUUACUUAUCUUUGUUUUCAUUUUGUAUACCUCCGUCAUCAGAGUAUCCUUUUAGGGAUGAAUAUUCUCAGUAUACAAAAUAUAUUAUGUCAGGUCAAGGUGCAAUUUAUGGAUAAGUAGAGAUGGGUUACAAUGAAACUAUUUAUACGGAUUAUUAUUUUUAAUGGUGAUAUGAAGGUGGAUUUAAAAGUAAAAUUAUUUUAUUUAUUAGUUUGAUUUUAGCUCUAAAAUAUGCACACAUCGCCCGUCGCUCUUAUUUUAAAAUAAGAUAAGUCGUAACAUAGUAGGUGUACCGGAAGGUGUUCCU
rnacentral:rRNA from 1 species